rnacentral:rRNA from 1 species
UACGGAGGGUGCAAGCGUUUAUCCGGAUUCACUGGGUUUAAAGGGGUGCGUAGGCGGGCAGGUAAGUCAGUGGUGAAAUCUCCGAGCUUAACUCGGAACUGCCGUUGAUACUAUUUGUCUUGAAUAUUGUGGAGGUAAGCGGAAUAUGGUCAUGUAGCGGUGAAAUGCUUAGAUAUGACAUAGAACACCAAUUGCGAAGCAGCUUACUACACAACGAUUGACGCUGAGGCACGAAAGCGUGGGGAUCAAACAGG